GUAGCAGCCAUGAAUUACAUAGCUAAAUCAUUCUACGACCUACAUGCUACAAAUUUAGAUGGAGAAAAGGUGGAUUUUAACCUAUUUAGGGGGAGGGUGGUUUUGAUAGUGAAUGUUGCUUCCUUGUGAGACACUACUGUUAGGGAUUACACCCAACUUAAUGAGCUGCAAACCAAGUACCCACGACGACUUGUGGUACUGGGAUUCCCUUGCAAUCAGUUUGGCUACCAAGUAAGUGAUUCCAUUUAAUUAACAAUAAAAUGUGUUCUUUACAACGCAAGUAUUCUUCGCCAUCACUGGCAAGUAUACUUGGAGGUUUUAUUUACUGAGGUGAUGAGAUAUUGAAGGGCAUUGCAAAAGGUUUUGUGUUUGAGCACAACUUAAAAAUAAAUAGCUGGACUGGAGAAUUUGUAAUUCAUCGUAAUUCACUGUUUAGCUAAUAAACCCCUCACUGUUAUACUUUGCCUUUAAAACAUAGUAAACCAAUUGGUUCAGACAGUUGUUAUGGAAACUGGCAAAAAUGUGUAAAAUUUUUUUUUACUGUAUUUGCAUUUAGAAUUUUUGAUCCGAAAGCUAACCACCAACAUCUGAUACCCUUUUCACAUCACAUUUCAGAUUUCAGAUUUUCAUAGGGAGAGGAAAAAAUACACUUGUUUGAACAAAUAAUAUUGAAAAUUAUAACACCUUUAAUGGUUUAGGUCAGUGGUUCUUAACUGUUGGGUCGGUAUCCAAAAUUUGUUCCCCAUGUCUUUUUUGGGUGCGUCAAAAAUGGUUGUAACAGGUGUAUCACUUUUAAUAGGCUCCAGGUAACUGUCCUUAAUAAAUUGAUUAUUGUGAAAGCAUUUAGACAAACCAUUUUCCCUAAAAAUAUAAUUUUUUUCGGGAUGGUCGGAGAUUGGUCAUAACUCUGUUUGGCUCGGCUGAGUUUUGGUACCUGAAGUAGUAACCCCUAUGCUUUAUCCAUAACAUAUAAGGUUCACUAAUGCUGCUAAACGCGUACACAUGUCAAUAGGUGCCUUCUUUGUUUUGUCGGCAAGACAAACAUCAAUAUCUGAACUGUAAAAGGGAAAAAUACAUGUGAAAGAGGUAACCCAGAUGAUGAAAACCACGUUACUUAGAAAUAGAUCUCUUGGUGGGAAGAAUAGUAUAGCAAUAACUGGUGCACCAUUCAGAAUUAUUCACUAAAGUGUGAAUUGUUGACAAUUUUCAGUGUGGUCUAAAUUUUUUAAUUCUCUUUGAAUCUAAUUCCCACUUUAUUGAACAACUCUGUAUUUGUAACCUUGAACAGCUAUUCUGAAUUGUAACCAUAUUUAUAGAUUGUUAUUUCUAUUUCAUUUUCUUUAUUUUCUAUACAUAGGAGAAUUGCAAGAAUGAAGAAAUUUUAAAUUCCCUAAAAUAUGUUCGGCCAGGUAAUGGCUUCGAACCUGGUUUUACCUUGUUCCAGAAAUGUGAAGUGAAUGGAAAAGGCAUACACCCUGUCUUUGCCUACCUGAAGGACAAGUUACCUAGUCCUGAUGAUGAUCCCGGAAGCCUUAUUACUGACGCCCGGUUGAUUGUAUGGAGCCCAGUUCAUCGAUCUGAUAUUUCCUGGAACUUUGAGAAGUUUCUUAUAGGUCCUGAAGGGGAACCAUUCAAGCGCUACAGCAAAAAUUUUCAUACUAUCAACAUUGAACCAGAUAUCCAAAGACUCCUUAAACUUGCCAAAUAGUAGAUCUAGAAUGUAAAUUAAACAUAGUUUAAUUUAAUGGCAAAAGUUUGCAACAUGUUUAAUUUUUCAUUAUGCAAGUUUGUCCAACAAUAUUUUAACUAUGAGAUAUACUAUGGCCAUUUCAAAAAUGCAUGCUACCUUAAUCUCAACGGGUGUCAUUUGACAUAGUUAAGUCUGCAUUAAAAUCGACUGUGAUAGAACAGGGUUGAAAGAAAAAUAUAUAGAUUUUUGAAUUGCAUCAAAGCUUAUGAGUUCUUAAUAGGACAAUGUUUGUUGCUUCUGAUUUUAAACUGUAUUCAUCUAGAUAAAAUACACUAACCACAAUUGGUAGUUCAUCACUAACCAUAACUGGAAGCUCAUGGUUGAAAACGAUUUAGUUAAUCAGAUCUUUUUUUAUAAGGCAGUUCUACCAUAUAAUCAUAUAUUUAUUAUCAACCUGUCUAUAUUAGUAUAUCAUCGUUGAAAUGAGCAAUGCAAUGUAUUUACAAAAAUCUAGCAUACCCUCAACCACAGAUACAGCAACAAAGAGCAACUUAUUAGUAAUUGCAUAUAUGUUAACAAUUGUCUUACGUCCCAUGCCCAUGUACAAAAUCCUAUAGAGAUGUUCAAGGGUCCUAAUAUCUAAUGCCUCGUUUCCACUGAGCGGAUCAGUUCGGGUGGGUCCGGUACGGUGCGCUGUUUUGAGUGUUUCCAUUAUGAAAGUGGCCCAUACAAUCGAACCGUACCGCACCAUUCAUGGUCCUCCUUCAGAUGUAGGGCCAUAGGAAAUGGUAUGGUAUGGUUAGGGCGGAGCUACUAGCGUCACACUAUACAAUCCAUUGAUUGGCAGACAGGAAAAUGUCAAUGCUCACAACAAAUGAAACGCUAGGCAUUUUUUCUAAACCCCGCAUGGCCCCGGAAGGUCUGACUUGCAGUGGAAACGCUCACCUGAAUAGGCUGGACCAUUCUAAACCUUCCAAACUGUACCGACCCGAACCGUUCCACUCAGUGGAAACAAGGCAUUAGUGUCUAAGCUCACGAACAAGGGAACUUUUCUCCUUUUCAUUAUCUGCCUGUCCUAUCAAUAUCUUGCCCCUUGUUGAUAUUUAUUUGUUCACUUUAGGGUAUUUUGUAUUGGACAAACCCCUUUUAAUGUUUUUGGAAGUCCCUAUCAGACUUUCUGUUUCCAUAUGAUUUUUUUUUUCUGUUCACACAUAAAAUGACUACCCUAACACUUACUAAAAUUCUUUACCCUAAAAAUCGAUUGUGUUCAGAUUUUAGACUUGUACUUGAUGACUGUAUUCUUUUAAACCCCGUGAAGGAUACAAGAAUGCUGUAUCAGGACUGUAUCUGAGCACUGUUGUAAAUUUAAAAUUCAAAUAAAC